UUUAGGAACAUUUCCUUUUUAUGAAUGGUUCAUAUCUCUGAGAUUGUAGCUACAUUAUUUAUUUUGUUUUGUUCUUUAGGUAUUUGUAGUGUACCUACAGAUAUUUAAUGUAAAGGCCCUUAUUUCUCAGCUGGUUAUAUAUUUUUUCCAGUAGUAUCUCUUAACCUUGGAGUCAGAGGAUAGCUUUUACCCAACCUUUAAUGGGGGACUACUGCACUCACAUCAAUGUACAGUUUAUUACAGAGCAUCCAAUGCGCCAUUUUGUUUAUCUACCUCCAGAGGGUAUCAGGUAUCAGGAAGUGCAACAAAGCAGAUUAAAUGCAUUCUAUCUGUAAAAUUGCUUUUAUGGGCAAUAUUACUGGUAACAACCAUUUGAGAUUAAAAUUUCUAGUCAUACAAUUGUUUCUCUAAUUACCUAAAGUUAUGCCAAGCUUAAAGUAUACGAGUUAUCCAAAGUUUAAUGUAUACAGUUUUUUCAGUCGUGUGUUUCAUGAAAAAGAGUAAGACAAUGAACACAAGAAAGGAUUCCAGACGAACACUAUUCGUAAGGCAGUAGAAGUCUGACACACGACGCAAAGAGGCUCGUCGUCAUCCUCACAGAAAAGAAGAAGUUUCUCUCCGUGAAGACGGCAAAAGACUUCGGCUUCGCUCUGGGUUUUCUGUUUUAAAUACAACUCCACGAUGUUCUUUAAAGCCAGAUUAACUGGAGGCUUGGGAACGGAUGACUUCCUUCUACAGACGGGACACUCUCGACUUCUCUUCUCUUUCCAGCAUCGCUGCAGGCAGUCGUCACAAAAGCUGUGGCUACACUGUAGAACAACAGGGUCAUUGAAGGUGUCACAGCACACAGAACAGAGGAGCUCCUCUUCUAAAAACGACGGUUUUAUCGCCAUUGUUCGUAGGCCUACACCCCGUCUCUGUAAGGCUACCCAAUGUUUUUCGCGAGACUUUCAGUUUUACUUUGGGGCGCACUGUUAUUGAAUCCGAAGAGCACACCCAGUGGGCAUGUUUGGUUGGCUUGACGUUGCGCUCACGUUAAAAUGUGCCCAAAACCCGUUGGCAUUUAGAUGGUCGUAUGUGUCUUGUUUGUCAAUGUUAGCCGGUAACACUGACGCAUAUUGAGGUUUUCCGGACGUAUUUCUUCUACCUUGCUGCAAAAUUUGCGAUUACUUUAUGGUCGGAUUUGAGACACAUUUGUUAGGAGUCGUUUUUUUCUCGUUGAAGCCAUAUACUAAGGUGUAGGGGAGAUCGUGGUUGGUUGGCACACGGGUUGGUUGGCACAGUUAAUUUCCAGGCCACUAAAGGGUGCUGCCACAAAAAUAUAACAUUAAAAUGACUGCCUUCUUGACCUGAACACAUCCAUUCUGUCAAAACAUCUGAAGGUCAAAAACUGUUGAGGUGAGGACAACGUUUCAAUUUUGCAGUGUCAAAAAAAAGGUCCCCCCCCCCCCCCACUAAAUACAGUAUAGAACUGUGUUAGAUAGAGAUAUAGAACGUGUAUUAAUUUCAGUUGAUAGAGAUAGGAAUCAGCUAUAUUUUUAUAUGAAAUUUGAAAUCCUGUGGUGAGUAAUGUUAGCUGGCUAACAUAAUAUUAGUACAGAGGUGUGUCCUAAUGUGGGUGGGGUUGGUUGGCACACUGAUUUUGGAGUUGGUUGGCCACAUGUGUCAACCAACCUUGGUAUAGCCAUUUGGUUAUAAAUGUAUUAACUUGUGCAUUUUACAUAUGUUAAACAUAAUUAAUAUUAUAUAAUACUAUUAUAUGUUGUAGGUUAUAUUAUUAUAAAUUAUGCAUUAUAUUUUUAUCAGGAUUGUAGGUUAAUUGCUCAUGAACAUAAACUUAUUAUGUAUUAAAUAUGGAUUUUGUAUUUGGAAAUAUUUUUAAACAUUUAAAAAUUUCUUGUAGGGGUCAAAAUGGUCUGAAAAUUUAUAAUAAAAACAGACAGAGGAAAGACACCAGCACACAUUAUGCUAGAGGCAGUCAGACAGGUGAAGACUCAAAACAAAAUAUUGCAAAAAGUGGGCACACAAGUUAUGCACUCCAGGUCUACCAACCUACAUCUGCCAGAACUGUGAUUCAUGUGACUCUGAUUGAGACACAGACACAUUGACAGGCUAGUUAGUCUAAUCUAACAACAUACUGAAUUAAUUCAGUCACUCCUAAUACCACACACACAGACACACACUCACACAUACACACCACACACAUAUACACACAAAUCCACACACACUCAUACGUGCACACACACACACACAUUGACAUGCACAAGCAAGAGAAAGGAGGAGUAGAAUUACAAUACUGGAGGUUAUUGGCUGUUCAAUUUCAUUUGAAAAGGUUAAUUUUAAUUUUGAUUCCAGAGGGGAAAUUCUCUUAUGAAAUAUAAACCUGUCAUGGUUGUCAAUAUAUAACAAUUUGUGUUUUUCAUUUUAAAUGAGAGAAUUAAAGAUCAUAAAUACUAUUAAGUGAUCAAAUGUUAUUUUCUUUAAAUUGCCAUUAAUAUAAAGGCCAAUUACGAAAACUGUUAUUUGGUUAAAAAAUGGGCAGAAAUUCUGUUGAAUGUUUAUGUAUUCUGGUUCUGGUUUGAAUUAAAUGCUCAAAUUAUUUCUA